rnacentral:tRNA from 1 species
GGUGGCAUAGCCAAGUGGUAAGGCAGUGGUUUGCAAAACCUCCAUUCCCCAGUUCGAAUCUGGGUGCCACCU